CGCUUUUUCUCUCUAUCAGUCCUUGUGUCUAUCACUCGCUGCGGUCAGCUGCCACACCAAUUCUUUGGUGUGGCUAGGCAAGAACCUUACGUGUUACAUUUUGGCGAGCCAGCCAGGAGUCUCCAGGAAAGGCAUCUAGAUCGUCACAUGCUUCUUCCCUCCAGGUAAAUUGCAGACGUGAUGCUCAGAAUUAAACUGUCAGGAUGCUGCCAUUCUGCUGCAUGCUCCGGACAGCUGGCCGUUAGGGAGCACUGCAGGCUUGGAAGAGGUGACUUGUCUCCCUGUGUACAGCCCUCUGGGUAGAGCAGCUGUCAUCUAAAUACAGAUGCUGAUCUCCAAAAGAAGUUCCAGUUUGGUUACAGAGAGUUACAGCAUAGUGAAACUUCAAGAACUAGGUUUUUCUGGACCAUCCCAGUGCGCAUGAAUCAGGUGAUUUUAUCUUUUGUUCCUCUCCUUGCUAUCCCUAAUCUGUCAGGCAGUCCUAAAUCUAUACCAUCAGGCUUGUUUGUUCUACUUCUCUAUCCUUUUAUUAUGGUUCCAUUAACUCACAUCCAAGGAUGUCAAGAGAAUAAAUAGCCCAAUAAAACAAAAGAAUAUACUUCCAGAUUUAAAAAGAAAGAAACAUACAAGAAAUACAUAAAUCAUACUAUAUGACGAUAGCCCAGAAGAUUGCAUGGAGGAUCUUUGUGUUUCCUGUAGAAGAAAAGAAAAAUGGAAUUUCCAUCUCUUGCAUCAGCACUUGACAGCUGGAGUUAUUGUUGACCAGGCAUCAAGAAAGGAGGGAUAUGCAUCAGAAAUCAUUUUGCCUGAAAUAAGCACAACUCCAUGGAGGACAAUGACACAUUUUCUCUGGUGAUCUUGUAAUUGGGGAUGAUGUAAACAUGAGUCUAAUCUGCAUUUUGUCUAAGAAAUUCUUCAUCAUGAGCAUCUUCCAAUAAAACGUGGUUCCUUACAACAUGA
rnacentral:lncRNA from 1 species